AGAAAAGGAUAAAAAAGAAAAGAAAAGAAGAAGCUAUAAAAGCCAUAGUCAUGGUGCUUCAUGUCAGUGACUAUUUUUCUACCAUUUUAAUUUUUAUUUUUCUUUCAACUUAGUCUCUCUCACCAAAUACAAACCAACUAAGUUAUUUUUUUCCUAAAUUUCUUCAUGAUUUGUGAGUGAGAUCAAUGGAGAGAAAUAAUAGUUACACUAAUUUCAUGAGAAGAGCAUUCAAGGGAGUUUUGGAGGAGAGAGAAAAUAAAGAUUAGACUUGAAUAUAAGUGUUUGAGGUUAAAAAUAGAGGAAAAAUGGAUCUUUGAAGAUUGAAGGCACCUCAUCUCAUCACAUCAGUGGAUCUAAGAGAGUAUUAAUUUUUUAUUUCAGUAAAUGGCAUGUACCUAGGUGUGUGUAUUAAGGUUGAAUGUGAUGGGACUUAAAUGUGAUACUCGAUGUUUGCUUAAUUUAUAUGAAAUAAUUUAAAUGUUAAUUAAGUGAUAUAAGAAAAUUAAA